rnacentral:lncRNA from 1 species
GCACAACAAAGAAAUACUAUUCAAAUAUGCCAUAAGCAUCAAUAUGCACUUGAUCAACAUCAUGUUAAUUUCUAUAGUAAGCCUGAUGGAUAGCACAACAAGCUCACUAAGAUCUUAACAUACUCUAUCAAUCAAGUUUGAAGGAAGUCCUUGUAAUGUCUACAUUACUUAAUCAAUCUAAGUCUGACAAUCAAUAAGACCAAAUUGACCAGGUA